CUCGCGAGCUUUACCUCCAGUCUCGCGAGCCUUGGCGUGGCACUGGGUGGCUGGCCCCGGCCCUGAGGAGGUGGCGUUCCGUUGGUGACGUUGGGCUCCGGCGGCGCCGGCAGGGCGUUCUCCUUCGCUGACCCGGAGCUGUGCGGCCAGCUCCCGCCGCCGCCGCCGAGCUCGCGAUGGGCGCCCAGGACCGGCCGCAGUGCCACUUCGACAUCGAGAUCAACCGAGAACCGGUUGGUCGAAUUAUGUUUCAGCUCUUCUCAGACAUAUGUCCAAAAACAUGCAAAAACUUCCUAUGCCUGUGCUCAGGAGAGAAAGGCCUUGGGAAAACAACUGGGAAGAAGUUAUGUUAUAAAGGUUCUACAUUCCACCGUGUGGUUAAAAACUUUAUGAUUCAGGGUGGGGACUUCAGUGAAGGUAACGGAAAAGGUGGAGAAUCAAUUUAUGGUGGAUACUUUAAAGAUGAAAACUUUAUUCUCAAACAUGACAGAGCGUUCCUUUUGUCAAUGGCAAAUCGAGGGAAACAUACCAAUGGUUCCCAGUUUUUCAUAACUACAAAGCCUGCUCCACACCUGGAUGGGGUUCAUGUUGUGUUUGGACUGGUUAUUUCCGGUUUUGAAGUAAUUGAACAGAUUGAAAAUCUGAAAACGGAUGCUGCGAGCAGACCUUAUGCAGAUGUCCGAGUUAUUGACUGUGGGGUGCUUGCCACAAAGUUGACAAAAGAUGUUUUUGGGAAAAAAAGGAAGAAGCCAACACAUUCAGAAGACUCGGAUUCUUCUUCCAGUUCCUCUUCCUCUUCAGAAUCAUCCUCAGAAAGUGGAGUUGAGGAAGAGAGAAUCAGAAGGAGGAGACACAAGAGAAGGCCCAAAGUCAGACACACUAAAAAGAGACGGAAGGAGAUGAGCUGUUCAGAGGAGCCCAGGAGGAAGCGCACAGUGAGCCCUGAAGGUUAUUCUGAGAGGAGUGAUGUGAAUGAGAAAAGAUCAAGUGAUUCAAAUGCUAAAAGAGAAAAGCCAGUUGUCCGUCCGGAAGAGAUUCCUCCAGUUCCCGAGAACCGAUUUCUACUUAGAAGAGAUAUGCCUGCUGUCACAGUGGAGCCUGAACCGAACAUUCCAGAUGUCGCACCUGUUCCGAGUGAUCAGAAACCAUCUGUGUCAAAGUCUGGACGGAAAAUUAGAGGAAGAGGCACAAUUCGCUAUCACACACCUCCACGGUCAAGAUCUCAUUCUGAGUCUGAAGAUGAUGACAGCAGUGAGACUCCUCCUCACUGGAAGGAGGAGAUGCAGAGACUGAGAGCUUACAGGCCACCAAGCGGAGAAAAGUGGAGCAAAGGAGACAAGCUAAGUGAUCCCUGUUCAAGCCGAUGGGAUGAAAGAAGCUUGUCCCAGAGAUCCAGAUCAUGGUCCUAUAAUGGAUACUAUUCAGAUCUUAGUACAGCAAGACACUCUGAUGGUCACCACAAGAAACACAGAAAGGUAAAGAAGUUUAAGCAUAAAAAAAAAGCUAAAAAGCAGAAGCAUUGCAGAAGACACAGACAGACAAAGAAGAAAAGAUUAGUAAUGCCACCUGACUCGGAACCCUCAAGAUCUGCCACCUACCGAAUGAAGUCCUCUUGUGACAGAGAAAGGAGACCCCGUGCCUCCUCCUCCUCCUCCUCUCGCCACUCCUCAAAGCGGGCCUGGUCUAGAUCAGACAAGGACGACCGGAGCUCCUCAACCCACUCCAGCAGAGACUCCUAUAGAUCCAAGUCUCAUUCACCAUCGGAUUCUAGAGGGAGCUCUAGAUCAAGGGCUUUGUCAAAGUCCUCAUCACGUUCUCACGACAGAUCCCAGUCCAGAUCUAGUUCCAGGUCAGAACCCCGGAGGACAGCAUCAAACUCACCAAAACAGCAUGCUCCGUUAAGUGAAAAUAAGCCAGCUAAGGCAGAACCUUUAAGAUCAUCGAUGCCACAGAAUGGAAAUGUGCUGGUACAGCCAGUGGCUGCAGAAAACAUUCCUGUAAUACCUUUGAGUGACAGCCCUCCCCCUUCUAGAUGGAAGCCUGGACAGAAGCCCUGGAAGCCCUCCUAUGAGCGAAUUCAGGAGAUAAAGGCUAAAACAACUCACUUGCUGCCUGUUCAGAGUACAUACAGUUUAACAAAUAUUAAAGAAACUGGGAGUUCAUCAUCCUAUCACAAAAGAGAAAAAAAUUCAGAAAGCGAUGGGAGCGCUUAUUCAAAGUACAGUGACAGAAGUUCUGGGAGCUCAGUAAGGUCAGGGGGCAAGUCUUCUAGGAGCCGGUCAUACUCUAGGUCAUACACAAGGUCAAGGUCACGGAGUCCACGGACUUCACGAUCACGAUCUAGGUCUCCAUCAUCUAGGUCUCACUCACAAAUGAAGUAUAGUGAUGGUUCCCACCGCAGCAGGUCGUCUUCAUACACUUCUGUCAGCAGUGAUGGGGGAAGUCGAGCCACAAGGAGGACGUUUAGAUCCCAUGGGGAAAAAAGCAUCACUUCAAAUAAAAGACACCACGGCAGCUCAAAGAAGAUACUUCACAGUAAAUAUGUCAAAGGCAGAGAGAAGUCUUCAUGUCACAGAAAGUAUAGUGAAAGUAGAUCAUCUGUGGAUUAUUCUUCGGACAGUGAACAGUCACAUGUUGAGUUAGUGCACUUGGCCCUAGAGAAGGAGAAACAGGGGAAAACAGAAGUAUUGAAUGAUAAGCAGGGGAAAAGCAAAGAAGAAGGGAAGGGCAAGCCAGAAUGGGAAAAGAGGCCUUUGAAAGAGAGUCUGUCUGAUCACUCUAGAGAUGGCAGUAGGUCCAAAGGGAAGAACUGUGCUGGGAGCAAAUGGGACUCUGAAUCAAACUCUGAACAAGAUGUGACUAAGAGCAGGAAAAGUAAUCCCCAGAGAUGUUCUGAUAAGGAGGAGGGCGAAGCCUCUUCCGACUCUGAGUCAGAAGUUGGCCAGAGUCACAUCAAAGCUAAACCCCCAGCAAAGCCUUCAGCAAACACUUCUCUGCCUGACAGUAAUGGUGCCUGGAAGUCUAGGAGACCACAGUCUUCAGCUUCUGAGUCAGAGGGCUCCUGCUCCAACUUGGGAAAUGUUAGAGCAGAGCCCCAGAAACAGAAAUGCCCAAAGGAUAGUUUUAAAGGGGAUCACACAAAAAAAGUGAGAGAGAAAUUGAAAGCCAAAAAAGACAAAAAACACAAGGCUCCAAAGCGGAAGCAAGCCUUUCACUGGCAGCCUCCACUGGAGUUUGGUGACGAGGAGGAGGAGGAGAUGAAUGGAAAGCAAGUUACACAGGAGCCAGAAGGAAAAAAGCACAUCUCUGAGAAGUGUGAAACUUUGAAAGACAGUAUUCCAAAAAUUAAGAAACCCUGUGAUGAAGGCAGUGGUCCCAGUAAUCCUAAGAAGGGUACUUCAGAGCACAACCCACUUGCGGAGGGGGAUCGCCAUCCCAGCUCUUGCCCUGCACCUCUGACAGUGGAGGAGAAUACCACCAGCUCUCCUGGCGCCCAGCACAUUGAAGAGCGUGUCCCAGCUGGAGGGGAGGAUGUGCUUCAGACAGAUGACAACAUGGAGAUCUGUACCCCUGAUAGGAGUUCCCCUGCAAAAGGAGAGGGGUUGUCCCCAUUAGCAAACCGCAAGCUGGACAGCCCAGAAGGGAGCAUUAUUCCAGAGCAGGUUGAGCACAUAGCACAGCCCAGAGCAGGAGGGAAACAAGAAAACAUUGUGUCUGAGAGUAAAACCUCAAGUGAAGGUGGGAAACAGGACAGCUCUGCCAGUUUGGCCAGUCCUGUAGAAAUUUCUGGAAAGAAGGAGGGGCCUGAGAAAAGCCAGAUGAACCUCACAGAUAAGUGGAAGCCAUUGCAAGGUAUAGGAAAUGUGAUGUCUACUGCAGCCAUGUCCAGUGCUCUGGAUGUGAAGCCAUUGGCUCCUGUUACUGAAGUGAAACCACAAGGCUUGAGAAUAGAAAUCAAAAGCAAAAAUAAAGUUCGGCCCGGGUCUCUCUUUGAUGAAGUAAGAAAGACGGCACGCUUAAACCGGAGGCCACGGAAUCAAGAGAGUUCCAGUGAUGAGCAGACACCUAGUCGGGAUGGUAAUAGCCAGUCCAGGAGUCCACACAGAUCUCGAAGUAAAUCUGAAACCAAAUCUCGACACAGAACAAGGUCUGUCUCCUAUAGUCACUCGAGAAGUCGAUCCAGGAGUUCCACGUCAUCUUACCGAUCAAGGAGCUACUCCAGAAGCCGGAGCAGAGGCUGGUACAGCAGAGGCCGGACCCGCAGCCGGAGCAGUUCCUAUGGAAGUUUCCGUAGCCACAGGACAUCCAGCAGGAGCAGGUCCAGGAGCAGCUCCUAUGACCCCCACAGUCGCUCCAGAAAAGAAAUUAACAUUUUUCUCUUUAACAUGAUCCUACACUUAUGAUAGCUACUACAGCCGGAGUCGCAGCCACAGCCGCAGCCAGAGGAGUGACAGUUAUCAUCGAGGGAGAAGUUACAACAGGCGGUCCAGGAGCGGUAGAUCCUAUGGCUCGGACAGUGAAAGUGAUAGAAGUUACUCUCGUCACCGGAGCCCCAGCGAGAGCAGCAGAUACAGCUGAGGCCUCCUUGUACAGAGACUGUAUCUUACUGUAAAUACCUGGUAACUUAAAGCUGGAGAAACUGGAUGGCCGUCUGUUGUGUGUCAGUAUUAGAGCUCAAAUCCAACAGUGGAUAUUUCUUGUCACUUAUUUACAUGUGUGCAGAAAAAUUUAAAAGUGCAGAUGUCAACUACAAAUAUUUUUAUGCCCCAUUUUACAGUAGACAACUAUGGAAUUUUCAUUUUCUUGAAUCAAGAAUUGAUGUAGGUAUCAUUUGCAGUGUUACUUUAGAUGGAGUGUUUUUGUAGCUCACACAGUCCAUAGAAUUCAGGUCAGUGCUUUCAGGUUUUAGCAUCCAUGCUGCCAAACAGAAUUGUGGAGAGCUGUCACAGCUACACGUUCCUAUGUCCCCAGCUGGUUAUAGUCUUGUUUGUGUGUGCUGUCAAAUCAGGCCAUCCACAUCGUAUUGACUAUGGCCAGUUGUGCAGGGUGGUGGCUCAUGCUACCAUGUCUGCCUUUCCACAGAGACUGCCACCUCGGUGCUUGGUGCCUUUGGUUCCUCCUGUACCUUCCUUCAUACACUACGUGUCCUGAUGCCAGAAGAUAGAAUCAUGACUUUUUUUAAUUCACUGGCACCAAAAAUUACUUCUUCUGAGCUGGGCUCACUGAGUGUGGAGCUUCCCAACAGUUAUGUGGUGGCGGUCUCUUGGACAGAGCCUGCACGGUUGGCCAUUUUGUUUUGCACCCGUGUACUAGAAGAGCCAACUGGAGAGUGGACUUUGAGAAGCAACUCCAGUCUUUAGUUAGCACACCCAGAGAGUUUAGCAACAACCAGCCUCUCCCUAUUGUGUUGAGACCCCCCACUGACUCUGUGAAGCCCUGCCUGACCUGAGGAAACCCAGGACAAGAUUUGGGGGCAGAAGGAUCACAAGCUGCUGCACAGAGAGAUGUUCCUGUGGUUUUGCGUGGUUCCUCCAAAAAUAAUUUAACCUGUAAAAACUAGUUUGAGUUUGUUUGUUUUACUCUUUACUUUGCAUUCUUUCCCCAAGUGUACUUAAUCACCUUAGUGCCGGUUUAAUCCUGUUCACAGAAAGAAUUCCUGUGUAUGUUGUCCAUGAAGUCUAUACCAUCCAAUCCCAGGCCUUGCUGGUGAAUUUGGGAAGAAGAUUCCUGGCCUGAUGGAGGGAGGCACUGAAUUAUGAAAAUGGUCUUCCAGGGCAUGUGGCUCAAUGUACUAGCAUGUGCUUGGCAUGUAAUGAUGCUCUGGGGUCAGUGACCAGCACUCCAAAAAUCAAUUAUGCUGACACUCUUAGAGGUGGCCAGCCGUGGUCCAACACACCAGUAAGUGUGUGAGUUCAUCAGAAGACAGAGUAACAUCAGCAGUCAGUGCUUGGCUAGUGAAAGUUAAACAUGCAGUUUAUAGUGGGAUUUUUUUCUAAAAGUUUCCUACAAAAAAGGAUGUUUGAAUGUACUAGUUGGUGAGAAGAAUGCAUUCAGAACCCAAACAAACUGCCAAAUGGAGUUAGUAAGGAAGGGUCACUGUUGAACAAUGUCGUAUUGUUUUGUAGCUGUGUGACAAACUAUUCCAAGUCCCGCAGCCUAGACCAGUGUCCGUGCACCAUUGAUUCUCAACUGUACAGCCAUGGCUAGGCAUGGUGGGGCAGUCUCAGGACUGUGGCUGAGGGCUGGAAGACGCAUCCCUCAUGAAGACUCUGAAAAGGACUAACUUUCUUGUGGGCUCCUUUGAGGCUGCCCACAUCCCUGCCCCAGGCCUUGCUGUCUUCAGCCAGCAGGAAUCCUUUGUCUUUCUUCAAAACUUCUGCCUUCCUCCUGUGUAAAGGGUCCAUAUGACUAGAUCAAACCAGAUCAGAGAUCAGUCUCCAUCUGCAGUCCAGUGGUCAAAGGAGUUGUGGGCAUUGGCAGGUUCUGGGGGUUGGCAUGGGAAGAGGCAGGGCAUGCCACCUACUGCCGCCACGACAGGGCUUAACCUAUCCAGGCAGCUCUCAUCUUCAGCAGUGUGGGCCUGGCUGUUUACACUCAAGUGAACUACAAAAAUGGCUUUUCUUCCUAACCAGGAUCAUUCUGUAUUUUUGAAGUUAUUUUUUUAAUAAAAUUGAAUUACGUUGUGUAAUGUGCUUAAUAGAAAAUGCUUUAUUGGACAGUUUUGUAACAUCCUGUUUACUGCAAAUGGCAUAGUUGAUAUUGUCAAAAAUGUAGAAAAGACUUUUGUACAUACUAGCAGUGUCUAAUUUGUAUAUACAUCGAUUUAAUUUCCCUACAACUCAAAAAGGAUCUUGUAGAAAUGAAAAUACAUGCUAACUUUGAG